rnacentral:rRNA from 1 species
AUUGAACGCUGGCGGCAGGCUUAACACAUGCAAGUCGAGCGGGGGAAGGUAGCUUGCUACCGGACCUAGCGGCGGACGGGUGAGUAAUGCUUAGGAAUCUGCCUAUUAGUGGGGGACAACAUCUCGAAAGGGAUGCUAAUACCGCAUACGUCCUACGGGAGAAAGCAGGGGAUCUUCGGACCUUGCGCUAAUAGAUGAGCCUAAGUCGGAUUAGCUAGUUGGUGGGGUAAAGGCCUACCAAGGCGACGAUCUGUAGCGGGUCUGAGAGGAUGAUCCGCCACACUGGGACUGAGACACGGCCCAGACUCCUACGGGAGGCAGCAGUGGGGAAUAUUGGACAAUGGGGGGAACCCUGAUCCAGCCAUGCCGCGUGUGUGAAGAAGGCCUUAUGGUUGUAAAGCACUUUAAGCGAGGAGGAGGCUACUUUAGUUAAUACCUAGAGAUAGUGGACGUUACUCGCAGAAUAAGCACCGGCUAACUCUGUGCCAGCAGCCGCGGUAAUACAGAGGGUGCGAGCGUUAAUCGGAUUUACUGGGCGUAAAGCGUGCGUAGGCGGCUUAUUAAGUCGGAUGUGAAAUCCCCGAGCUUAACUUGGGAAUUGCAUUCGAUACUGGUGAGCUAGAGUAUGGGAGAGGAUGGUAGAAUUCCAGGUGUAGCGGUGAAAUGCGUAGAGAUCUGGAGGAAUACCGAUGGCGAAAGCAGCCACCUGGCCUAAUACUGACGCUGAGGUACGAAAGCAUGGGGAGCAAACAGGAUUAGAUACCCUGGUAGUCCAUGCCGUAAACGAUGUCUACUAG